rnacentral:rRNA from 1 species
ACGCUCGACACCUACUGGAGGCAGCAGUGGGGAAUAUUGGGCAAUGGGCGCAAGCCUGACCCAGCAACGCCGCGUGAAGGAAGAAGGCUUUCGGUUGUAAACUUCUUUUAUUAAGGACGAAACAAAUGACGGUACUUAAUGAAUAAGCUCCGGCUAACUACGUGCAAGCAGCCGCGGUAAUCUGAGCGGGCUGGCAAGGC